rnacentral:rRNA from 1 species
UAACUGUCUCCUCUCUCUAAUCAGCGAAAUUAAUCUCCUCGUGAAAAAGCGAGGAUUCUAACAUAAGACGAAAAGACCCUGUGGAGCUUUAAACAAACUAACAACUAAUAUACUUCAUCCACCCUAUAUUGAGAUGAUUACAAGUUUUUGGUUGGGGUGACCAUGGAGCAAAAACCAACCUCCAAGAUGAUAAAGGACCCCCUUUAACAUAAAACUACAAUUUUAUGUAUCAGAAUACUGACAUCAAUUGACCCUUCUUGAUCAACGAACCAAGCUACCCCAGGGAUAACAGCGCAAUCUGCCUCAAGAGUACAUAUCGACAAGCAG